rnacentral:tRNA from 1 species
AUUUAAAUAGCUUAUAAAAUUAGAGUAUAAUAUUGAAGAUAUUAAGGAGGUUAAAAAAUCUUUAAAUA